CGGUGACGCGCGGUGGGCGGGGCCGGGCGAGCGGAGCCGGCACCUCACUCGCGGUGGCAGCGGGCUACCACAAAGCGUCUGAGAUGCUUCUUGGUCGUGAAGUGGUGGAAAAGUGGCGACCUGCCGUCAUCGAGGACCCAAAGCUCUGAGAACUGAUUGCAGACUUCUGGUCCCUGUAGUACAAGAGCUGAAAUAGAUACACAAAGACCUGCAAACCAAUAAAUUGAGCCUUGUACUUUAAAAUGA